CGGUGUCAACGUGCUUUUCAUGGUAAGAUCGCGUAGUAAACAGGCAGAGGUGCGAGUGGAGCUCAUUACUACUGAAGAAUUAUAUGCACAUUUCACAAGAAAUCGCUGUUCGUUGAAUGAAGCUUUACCGACUAGAAAAUAAUAUGCAUACAUUUAGAUGGUUAGCGGACCAGUUUAAUUUUCAGAAUACAAAAGAAGUUCAACAUCAACCUAGUGUCCCCUCUUGCGCAAUAGAUAGCGUCUGUCCAUUUUUCACUGUGUGAAACUUGUUUUUUUUAAUGCAUUUCUCAGAUUAUGCUGCUGGUUUGCAAAUCUAGGACAACGUGAUCUCGAGGAACAAUAAAUCAGCUUUUUUUAUCCAUGGUGUUUGCAAGUUGUAAAGAGAUGGAUGGUAUCGGGAACACAAUGCAGAAGAAGGCUGCGGAGCUCGAGCGCAUGGCCGAGGUUCUGGUCACCGGAGAGCAGCUGAGGCUGCGUCUCCAUGAAGGGAAGGUGGUUAAGGACC